rnacentral:sRNA from 1 species
GGACAAUGAUCUCGCCUUGAAAUUGUUUAACAAUCGAACAAUCGUCGACAAUAUUCUGAGAAAUGUGAAAGGCGAUAUAAACAAUCGACUGGAGCUUCGUGUAAGUCAUCGGGGAGCUUUCUCUGCUGAAACCAUUUUCUCGGGAAAUUUAGUUUCCUUAAUGCCCUUGCACCGUAGUUACACAAUAUUUAAACCAAGACUAACCAGUUUUCAGUUAGUCAACAAAUCAUUCAAUUUGGCAGCCAUUCAUGUGAUUCGAAAAGAGAAUCGAACUGUGGUAUUUCACAAGUUUAAUCGUUGUGACAGACUCCAUAAAAUUUCUCCAUGUCCAGAUUGUUCAGUCCACUUGAAUUCUGUGAAGCUUAAUAAGAAAAACAUAUUCCAAUAUGCAAGGUGGGUAUAAAAAUAUAAAAAUCGAGGAGUUUUGUUGUACAUUACAUUUCAGGUUCUUAAAACAAACCAUGAAGAUUAUGGUAAUCAAAAUACGAAUCGAAGACUCAAAAAGAGUAUGCUGUAUGAUUACCGAUGUUCAUCAAGUUAUUCAUAAAUCAUUGAUAGGUUCAGAUUGUAAGUCUUGAUUAUCUAUCGUUUUGUAAAGUGACUAAACUUUAAUCAUUAAAGUAUUCGAAAUUUUAGAUGAUAAGGUUGAAGAAUUUGUUGGUAUUGAUCAAAUAUCUUUUUCUACAUGUAUUCCAUGUGAAAAGAUAGCUGCAAAUUGCAAAGUAUUCGGACCAGUUCAAAAUGACAUGUUCAAUGCUAUUCUGAGACUAAAACACCAUUAUGAUGUUUUACAGGUCAAAGACAU